rnacentral:tRNA from 1 species
AAGGAAAUGACAGACUGGUUAUGUGGUUAACUUGAAAUUAAAAUAAGGGGGUUCAACUCCCUCUUUCCUGA